GGGAAACAAAAAUGCAGAAGCUAAUUUUUUUCUAUAUUGAUAUCGAAGUUUUUAUUUUUUUUUAAAAACAUCGAUGUUUUAAAUUGUAAAUUGCAGGAAGCUAAAGUCAUAAUUAGGCGGGGUAUGUGUGAAUGAGAUUUAAUAGUAAAAUAUUAAAUUAUAUUGAAAAUAAAUAAAUAUUUAACAUCUUAAUUAAUUCUAUUAGUUAUAUAUAAAUAAUAUUUUUAAUGAGAUUUACAACAAAAACUUUAUAAAACAUUUAAGAUAAAUAAAUAAUAAUAAUAAUAUCAGAGUGUUCGGAGUGUUUGUUUGAAUUU
rnacentral:lncRNA from 1 species